UUCUACUGACUUUAACACAGGUGGAAGAUAAUCAGCAGUUUGCAGUAGGAGCUUAGCAACUCACAGGAAUGGACCCAUCCCCCUGCAAUCCUGCAAUUUACAAUGCACUGUACAUAUGGACUGUCAAUUGCAAGAUCCGGGCCAGAGACGAGAAUCCAAACAAAGGAAAUGCAUCUCAACCUCAGUUUGGGGCUAUGGAACAGCAAGAAGAGUUUGAUGAGGCACCAGUACCAGGAAAAA